rnacentral:lncRNA from 1 species
UGGAACACACCAUCUCCCCCACGUUCCACCACCUUCCCUGCUCAAUCGGGCUCAAUCCCGAUUUCCCCUAAUCUCCCUGCUGCCGUCGCCUUUGGAGCAGAGCUCCCGUUCCAAGCUACUGAGAGCUCCUCUAGCCAAAUUGGUGAGACAAGGUGAGUCUUGGACCCGUUCGUUACCUUCUCUAUCUACUAUAGCUCCAUCCCUCACUCUGUUGUGCCCUGACACCGUGCGACACUCCCGCCAUGCCAGACGGCAAGGCAUGGCCAAGAACACGAACACACGCAAAUUGAGAAGCACCCCAUUUAGCAUACUCACGUACACACGCAAACAUACCCGCACACACACCCACAUACACUCACAUCCGUAUAUAUAUCCCACACGCACACCAGCACAAACCUAGGCACUUAGUGCAGGAGCAAGCACGUCACCUCCACACCACGAUGCAAGCACAUGCUGGAGCCAUGGUCGGCGGCUGCCGCCGCCCAGCCACUCAAGGUCGCCACGCUGGAGCCAUGGAUGGCACCGCCGCCGUCCAGCCACCGGUGCCUUGUGUCACUGCAACGUGCACCGCCGAGCGCCUGAGCCACAGUCGCUUCCGCCACUUCCACCACGGCGAGCCCUCGCCGCUGCCGCAAACCCACUCACUCCGCCACCACUAGCCCCGAUGGACCAUGUGUCAGCGACAUGCUCCGUGAGUUCACAAUAGACUACAUGCAUAUAUUUUGCUAAAUCGUACGGACAGUGUACAUAGAAUGAUGGGAAGCUAUUCUUCUAAUAGAUAAUAAUUCUCAGAAAAUUCCUAAAACUACUAGAGUCACCUAAGAGCCUAUCCAUACUUUUCCCACGACCCUUUAUUCACUAAAAUAUUCCUAGAAAUUCUGCCAAGCUUCCAACCACAUAAAUCAUCUUAAAAAAACAUAUCACCUCCAUUUUAAAUCCGUCUUCCACUAAACCACCACCAAAAUUCCUCUAAAAUAUUGUUCUAUUUAUUUAAUACCACCAUUUAGUCCUUUGUUUGCCUUUGUAUUCGUUUUUAUGUAUUGAAAGGUAGUCUUAUGCGUUCGCGACGAUCGACAGAGGGCGACGACUACCAGGAAGGCGAGGACCCGGACUACGUCGGAUCGGAAAGUGAGUUGAACGAAGGCAAGUCCUAACUCUCUCUCUCCGCCACUACGUGUUGUACUAUUAAUAUUAUUAUAAAUUUAUAGUGAUGAAUAUGAAUAAAUAUGAAUGAGAUGCUUAAUGAGACUAAACUUGUUUUGACGGGAGCGAGUAGGAGUAAUUUAUGUGGAAUAAAUUACUUUGGUAGGUUCGCUUGUGUGGGUUCCUACAGGAGAUACUCGUUGCGGUCGUAUAAGGACCGGUUCAUAGGUCAUUUCACCUAGUCUGACAUACGUAUAGCUACAUGUCUAUAUGGGUAGACCUGGUCUCACACCCCGUUAGGUAGAAGUAUGAUUUCCACUAGGAGGCCGGUGUCGCAACGGAUUAACAGGAGAGGACACGGCUGCUGUGUGAUCUACCGUGAUCCAAUCGGCAUGGUUGCUAUGUGGUCUUUCAUGUAAAAAUUAUUGUCGUGGUGUGCGAGCACCCUUCUUUAUUAAUCUGGAUGAUAUGUGAUCAUCCACCGGAUGCUGUGUGAUCAUCCAACCACCCGAUAAUCUAGGAUGUUGUGUGAUCAUCCUGAUGAGAGUGGGUUCCGAUCCCUGAGUAGUCCGUAGUGGAAUUAUCUGAAACCUGAGGCAGCACCAUCCGGGUACGAGAUCUUGUUAGGCCUGUCGUGACCACUGAUCAUGGUUAGACUGUGUCUAUCGUGUGGGGAAAAUUGUACCCCUCUGCAGAGUUUAUCAAUCCUAUUCGAAUAGCCACGGCCUUGGUAAUGGGCAACCGCUAGGAUGAGAUCCCUGUGAUUAGAUUUUCUUAAAAUAAAAUAUGAUUAUUAUUGUUUAAUUGGUUAUUUAAUACUAAUCGGGAACUGGCGAGGAGAAUGAUGCUCUCCCAGGGCCCAACCCUUAUAUUAAAUAAUACUAUCACCUCCACCAACCACCCUGUUGGGGCUUGCCGAGUAGUCUGUGUACUCACUCAUUGUUGACUCACAGAUAAUGAUCCCGAGGAGAACUUCGACAUCGACGAGGAGGCAAACGACGAG